UGAGAGGGUGAUCGGCCACAUUGGGACUGAGACACGGCCCAGACUCCUACCGGGAGGCAGCAGUAGGGAAUCUUCGGCAAUGGGCGCAACCCUGACCGAGCAACGCCGCGUGAGUGAAGAAGGUUUUCGGAUCGUAAAGCUCUGUUGUAAGUCAAGAACGAGUGUGAGAGUGGAAAGUUCACACUGUGACGGUAGCUUACCAGAAAGGGACGGCUAACUACGUGCCAGCAGCCGCGGUAAUACGUAGGUCCCGAGCGUUAUCCGGAUUUAUUGGGCGUAAAGCGAGCGCAGGCGGUUAGAUAAGUCUGGAGUUAAAGGCUGUGGCUCAACCAUAGUUCGCUUUGGAAACUGUCUAACUUGAGUGCAGAAGGGGAGAGUGGAAUUCCAUGUGUAGCGGUGAAAUGCGUAGAUAUAUGGAGGAACACCGGUGGCGAAAGCG
rnacentral:rRNA from 1 species